rnacentral:rRNA from 1 species
AACGAACGCUGGCGGCAUGCCUAACACAUGCAAGUCGAACGAAGGCUUCGGCCUUAGUGGCGCACGGGUGCGUAACGCGUGGGAAUCUGCCCUUGGGUUCGGAAUAACUCAGAGAAAUUUGAGCUAAUACCGGAUGAUGACGUAAGUCCAAAGAUUUAUCGCCCAAGGAUGAGCCCGCGUAAGAUUAGCUAGUUGGUGGGGUAAAGGCCUACCAAGGCGACGAUCUUUAGCUGGUCUGAGAGGAUGAUCAGCCACACUGGGACUGAGACACGGCCCAGACUCCUACGGGAGGCAGCAGUGGGGAAUAUUGGACAAUGGGCGAAAGCCUGAUCUAGCAAUGCCGCGUGAGUGAUGAAGGCCUUAGGGUUGUAAAGCUCUUUUACCAGGGAUGAUAAUGACAGUACCUGGAGAAUAAAGCUCCGGCUAAACUCCGUGCCAGCAGCCGCGGUAAGUCGAUAUCG